rnacentral:rRNA from 1 species
GUCGGAACGUGCCCUCUGGUCGGGGAUAGCGGCGGGAAACUGCCGGUAAUACCCGAUGAACUCGAGAGAGCAAAGGUGUGAUUCCGCCGGAGGAGCGGCCGACAUGGUAUUAGCUAGUUGGCGGGGUAAUGGCCCACCAAGGCUGUGAUGCCUAGGGGAUGUGAGAGCAUGAUCCCCACCAUUGGGACUGAGACACUGCCCAGACACCUACGGGUGGCUGCAGUCGAGAAUCUUCGUCAAUGGGCGAAAGCCUGAACGAGCGACGCCGCGUGCGGGAUGAAGGCCCUUGGGUUGUAAACCGCUGUCGAGGGGGAUGAAGGUCAAAGGGUACUCCUUUUGAUUUGACAGAGCCCAGAAGGAAGCACGGGCUAAGUUCGUGCCAGCAGCCGCGGUAAUACGAACUGUGCGAACGUUAUUCGGAAUCACUGGGCUUACAGGGUGCGUAGGCGGCCCGACAAGUCAGGUGUGAAAGCCCUCGGCUCAACCGAGGAACUGCGCUUGAAACUGUUGGGCUC